UACGGAGGGUGCAAGCGUUAUCCGGAUUCACUGGGUUUAAAGGGUGUGUAGGCGGGCUGUUAAGUCAGUGGUGAAAUCUCCAGGCUCAACCUGGAACUGCCAUUGAUACUAUCAGUCUUGAAUUUUGUUGAGGUAGGCGGAAUAUGUCAUGUAGCGGUGAAAUGCUUAGAUAUGACAUAGAACACCGAUUGCGAAGGCAGCUUACUAAACAAAUAUUGACGCUGAGGCACGAAAGCGUGGGGAUCAAACAGG
rnacentral:rRNA from 1 species